UAUCUAACAGGCAUACUAGGCAUUCAAUUUCAUUGUUCAUGGGCAAUGCAUCAUUAAAACUAUAAGAGAUGCUGUAGCAUGACUCCCUGAAAGGCUGAAAUGAUAAAGACUAUUAAUACAGUGUAGUGCUAAGACCAUUGUAGGAGAGAAAUUUGUAUACCCUGAUGAUGGGAGUAUUAAUUGUCAGACACGUUCAAGGCUACUUUGCAUGAUGCAUAAACAUGAAAUGUUGUGGUGUGCAGUCUCCGGUGUAUUUAAUGUAACAUAGGUGUGCACACACGCUGUUAGACAUGCACAGGAAUUCACGGGAGCACUUUCUAAAGAAGUCUCAAGCCACAGCAGACCAAGGUUUCAGCAGGAGAGAAGAAACACUUAUAUGGCGGGAGCUGAAUACCUUGAAAUGGUUUUGUUUUGUUUGUUUGUUUGUUUGUUUUAGUAAAUGAAACAAAAAUUAUCUCAGUGGUAUGGUUGGGCUUUGGAAACAAAACACUGAACAGAAAAGACCAGAUGCAAAAGAGAAUUUAAGGAGCUAGAGAGAUAGCUCAACAAAUAAGAGCACUUGCUGCAUUCACAAGGGACUUAGGUUUGGUUCUCAGCACCCAACUCAAGUACCACGGUCUGCCUAUAAAGUUCAUCUCCAGGGGAGCCAACACCCUCUUGUGGUCUCCAGGCAAACCUGCACUCAUGUGCAUAUAGUCGCACAUAGGUACACAUAUAGACAAAGAAUUGAAAAUAAUACAAAUAUUUAAAAACUGGUAUAAAGAGGCCAGAGAGAUGGCUGAGUAGUUGAAAGCAUUGACUUCUGCUAAUUCAGAGGUCUUGAGUUCAAUUCCCAGCAACCACAUGAUAGCUCUGAUACCUUCUUCUGCUGUGUCUCAAGAGAGCAACAGGGUACUCACAUGCAUAAAAUAAGUAAUCUUUUUAAAAGACUAGUUUAAAAAAAGAAUAUUUAAGUCCUUUUAUAUAAAUUCCACCUAUAUCGAAGUUCAUUUAUAUUAAGGUCAGAGUGUGCAAUUUAUAGAGAGAGUUUCUGGGUCAGACUUGGAUAGGUUCAGCUUUUCUGAGUCCCUGCUAUAUCAGCAGGGUACUCCCUUCUACAGGCUGCUGGGAGCAGGCCUGUGAGGACCCUCAGAGACUUCCGUGCUUCUGACUUGGGUGGUAUUUACAGAGGUGUUUGCUUUUUGAUAAUUUGUUAAGUUCUACAUUUAUGGUUCCAUGCAUUUUUAAUACAUGAAUUAUAUUUCAUAAUAAAAUGUUUUAGGAAAAUGAGAAAUUUUAGAAAAUAAUAAAUUUGUCAAGAUAAGAGUAAUGAGUAAGCUCCUGCCCUCCCACAUAUUAAUGUCCAUAAUAAAUCUGCAGUAAUGAAAACAGUGUCCAGGAACAGAUGGCUCCGUCAGUGGGACAGAACGGGUCAUUCCACAGCCAUGUCUCAGCUGUGCAGGCACUUAAGGUGUGAUAAAGGACUCUUUCCAAACCCAGGAGGGAGCAGUGGGCCAUUUAAUAAAUAGCACCAAGACAACUGGUGAGCCAAGUAGAAAAAAUAUAGACCCUACCUACACCUCUGGCAUCCUAUUAAAAACCAAACCCUACACAAAAUAACUCCUUAGCUGUAAGAACAAGACAAUAACAGGGCAAUCUGGCACCUGGAUGCAGGGCAGCAUUCUAGGUGAAAAGGGAGACAGAAACAACAAAGCAGUAGCAGCAAGAAAAUGACCACAAAUGCUUUCAAAACUUCUGACAUCAAACACUCCAGUGCUAAAUGUUUAAAGGUCUAUGCCAUGUGUGGAGACAGCGCUGCAGCUGAGCACUUGCUAUUCUUGUGGGAGACCCAAGUUCAGUUUCUUGCGAGUUAAGUUUCCAAUGCCAACUGGGAGCCUCAUGACCUGGGAGCUGUAAGUCCAGCUCCAGGUGAGCCAUGGUCCUUUGCCUCUGGGGGCACCUGAACUCAUGUGCACAUAUCUAUCCAUAGGCACACACGCAAAUACUUAAUUAAAAAUCAUGAAAACAAAUCUUCAAAAAGUAUGCAUUGAACUUGGAAAAGUAUAUUCCAAGGCAACCUGGCACAGAGAUCUUGUUAUGAUAUUUAAGUAUUUAAAUGUGUGGUUGAAAUUAUUAAAUAACAUUAAAUGAUAACUAUAUAUCUCAAUGGGACAACACUCAAGGAGAUUAACCACAGAAUUUAUAAUGAUAGCCAAGAUUCAAAGGCUCAACCUUGCAAGCAAGUGCAAAGAGGAGAGAUGCCAGCUGUCAUUUAUCUAAAGGAUGGGGAUUUUUCAAAUGCUUACUUUUAAAGCACAGGGUAACGGGGAUGGACGUUACUGCCCGUGGCAUUGUCAGACUGGGGAAGGGUCUGCCAUUGACCAUUUCUCUGCCUUUCAUGUAGCCCCUCUCCUCCUGUAAAUCCAUUUCAAGGACAUAACAAGAAAUGUGGACCAAGAUUAAUGCACAAACAUGCUGCUAGCUCUGUGAUUUGCAAUAGCAAAAUAUUGGCUCACCUAAGGUCCCACACUGAGGGAGUGAACUGAUUUGUCCCCUAUGGCCAACCCUCCAUCUACCGGAUCCUGAGCACAAAGCACUUUCAAGACCGUGGGAAACUCAUGAAUCAUGAGAACAGGGCAGAUCCAGGUUCCGAGGGACCUGAAGAUUGUACAACUUGUGUGGCCUCGGAGAGGAUAAAAAUCACUGGUGGAGGGAGGGGCGGAAUGUAGGCUGUGAGCUCCGAGGUUUAAGCUUCAUUUGUUCCGUGGAGGCUAGCUUGGAAUACUAAAUUAUGAAGUCUGACAAAAAGAACAUAUAAGAAAAUGCUUGUGCAACAGAAAAGGGCGUGAGACAAAGACGCACAUUAGGAGCUUUUGCUAACUGUCCUCACCUUGUUAUGAAUCAUUAACUAAAACAGAAGCAACUUUUAAAUGAAGCAAAGUCGGGCAAGACAAGAAUGGGGAAUUCAGAGAGAAAGGUGGGCAGAGAGAAGACAUGGGGAGCUGGGUUUUAAAGAUGCAUAAGGCAAGCCUGGGGGCCAGUCACAGAACAGCAAGGGCUGAAAGAGAGAUGGCUAGAGCAAGCUGAAGGUGGAGGGUGAGUGUAUAGUGUCUAAGAGGAUGUGGGAACAGGGCCACAGACAGUUCCUAAUUAGAUUCCAGAGGUCUGAGCUUUAUCACAGUAAGGAGCCUGGCAGAGGGUUAGCCUGAGUGGGUCUUCAUAGCUAACAAAUUCUUAGACAGUGCAAGUCGAAAUGUCCCUAGAGGUAGAGCUAUUUGAAAGGACAGUGAAAAUGAGAACUUGGUCCCUGGGGAAAGAAAUAUUUGAAGCAGACGAAAUAAAACAAUUCCAGAUCAGGCAGGAUUGAUACCCCAGGCUAACCUAAGGAAGGCUUCAGGCCAGGAAGGGCUCUGAAUAUUUUGGGGGACAGUGGGAUAGCGAGGUCUCAGGGAUAGGGCCCUAUGAUAAUGUAAUCUGCUGCAGGUCCAGAUCUAGGUGGGAUAUCUGACUUCCCCAUGUCCAGAGCCUAGAGAUAUAUAUCGUUAAAGAAGUUAAAAAUUUGGCACAUCAAACUCUACAGGGGCAGAGAAGGCACUGGCCACCCCUCACAGAGGAAGCAAUCCAUCUAUGCCAUCCCGAGGUAACAAUCAACUGGUGACUGAAGAGUCAGAUAAAAUAAAAAUUCUUGCAACC
rnacentral:lncRNA from 1 species